rnacentral:tRNA from 1 species
CCGCCCGUGGCGAAGCUGGAUAUCGCAGCAGAUUCCGAUUCUGAGGCCGGGGGUUCGAAUCCCUCCGGGCGGACCA